UCUUUGUUAGUAUAUCGGUUAGUACACGCCCCUGUCAUUCAACGAUUUGGUGCGGGCGAAAGCUGGGUUCGACUCCCAGACAGAGAG